GAGGCCAUUUAGGGUUUUACCACAUCAAAGGUACUGAAACUACUGGACGUGUAGACGGCAGCAGCAGCACUUUGUCUACAGUUUUUGAAUGUAAUAAGUUUGGACUUGUUUUAUACAGCACUCAGGAGCAAGUCAUCAUACCUGGAAACGUUCUGGUGGAAGAAGAUUUCAGCCACAGUCUGACAUGAGACACGCCUAUUUUUCAAUGUCAUUCAAAGCAUGGAGUAUUCACUGCAGAAAUGGCAACUACUGGAACCACAAUAUAAACAGACUUUGACUCAGGGGCAGUCA